rnacentral:rRNA from 1 species
UACGUAGGGUGCGAGCGUUAAUCGGAAUUACUGGGCGUAAAGCGUGCGCAGGCGGCUUGACGCGCCCGACGUGAAAGCCCCCGGCUUAACCGGGGAGGGUCGUCGGGUACGGUCAGGCUUGAGAGCGGGAGAGGGUGGUGGAAUUCCCGGUGUAGUGGUGAAAUGCGUAGAGAUCGGGAGGAACACCUGUGGCGAAGGCGGCCACCUGGGCCUGUACUGACGCUCAUGCACGAAAGCGUGGGGAGCAAACAGG